CGGCAGCACGGAGCUUGCUCUGGUGGCGAGUGGCGAACGGGUGAGUAAUAUAUCGGAACGUACCCUAGAGUGGGGGAUAACGUAGCGAAAGUUACGCUAAUACCGCAUACGAUCUAAGGAUGAAAGUGGGGGAUCGCAAGACCUCAUGCUCGUGGAGCGGCCGAUAUCUGAUUAGCUAGUUGGUAGGGUAAAAGCCUACCAAGGCAUCGAUCAGUAGCUGGUCUGAGAGGACGACCAGCCACACUGGAACUGAGACACGGUCCAGACUCCUACGGGAGGCAGCAGUGGGGAAUUUUGGACAAUGGGCGAAAGCCUGAUCCAGCAAUGCCGCGUGAGUGAAGAAGGCCUUCGGGUUGUAAAGCUCUUUUGUCAGGGAAGAAACGGUGAAAGCUAAUAUCUUUUGCUAAUGACGGCACCUGAAGAAUAAGCACCGGCUAACUACGUGCCAGCAGCCGCGGUAAUACGUAGGGUGCAAGCGUUAAUCGGAAUUACUGGGCGUAAAGCGUGCGCAGGCGGUUUUGUAAGUCUGAUGUGAAAUCCCCGGGCUCAACCUGUGAAUUGCAUUGGAGACUGCAAGGCUAGAAUCUGGCAGAGGGGGGUAGAAUUCCACGUGUAGCAGUGAAAUGCGUAGAUAUGUGGAGGAACACCGAUGGCGAAGGCAGCCCC
rnacentral:rRNA from 1 species